UGGGGAAUUUUGGACAAUGGGCGAAAGCCUGAUCCAGCAAUGCCGCGUGUGUGAAGAAGGCCUUCGGGUUGUAAAGCACUUUUGUCCGGAAAGAAAUCCUUGGCUCUAAUACAGUCGGGGGAUGACGGUACCGGAAGAAUAAGCACCAGCUAACUACGUGCCAGCAGCCGCGGUAAUACGUAGGGUGCAAGCGGUUAAUCGGAAUUACUGGGCGUAAAGCGUGCGCAGGCAGGUUUGCUAAGACCGAUGUGAAAUCCCCGGGCUCAACCUGGGAACUGCAUUGGUGACUGGCAGGCUAGAGUAUGGCAGAGGGGGUAGAAUUCCACGUGUAGCAGUGAAAUGCGUAGAGAUGUGGAGGAAUACCGAUGGCGAAGGCAGCCCCUGGGCAAUACUGACGCUCAUGCACG
rnacentral:rRNA from 1 species